rnacentral:misc_RNA from 1 species
AGAAAACAAAAAGGUUUCAAAAUAGAAUCAAUUACUUUCAAUGAGUUCUUAACUUUCACUAAAGAUUUUUAUAUACGUUCUUCUAUAGACAUGCAAAUAUAGAAUUUUAUUUGCAUUUUAUUCUGCAAAUAGGUCGAUGGGGAAAAUAAAACUCCCCACCUUGGAAUAGAAAUGGUCUUUAUUCUUUUGUCAACAAAAAAGUUAUUAUUCAGUGAAUAGUAAAUAGAGGAUUUCCUAAUUCUAUUAUUUUCUAUAUCAAUCAGAAAAGCGAAUAGAGUUAUGUUAUAUAUGGAUUGGUGAGCUAAUCAAUAUCAAAGAGGAAAGGGAA